GGUGGCUCAGUGGCAGAGUGCUUGCCUUGCAUGCAUGAGGUCCUGGGUUCGAUUCCUCAGCACCA
rfam:Dipodomys ordii contig_33043, whole genome shotgun sequence.